UACGUAGGGACCGAGCGUUGUCCGGAUUCAUUGGGCGUAAAGCGCGUGUAGGCGGUCCGGUAAGUCCGCUGUGAAAGUCGGGGGCUCAACCCUCGGAUGCCGGUGGAUACUGUCGGGCUUGAGUACGGAAGAGGCGAGUGGAAUUCCUGGUGUAGCGGUGAAAUGCGUAGAUAUCAGGAGGAAUACCGGUGGUGUAGACGGCUCUCUGGACCGCGACUGACGCUGAGACACGAAAGCGUGGGUAGCAAACAGG
rnacentral:rRNA from 1 species